UUUAAAAAAAGAUGAAAAGGUCAAAAAAAGCUGCCCAACUGUCGAAAUGGCUUAAAAAUGGUAUUUAAAAAUAUGGGCUAUUUUCACGUCUUUUUUUGCCAAGAGGCUAUUUUAAUCCUUCUCCCUUAUAUUUAAUCUUGUGCUACAAUCAUUCUAAUGGUUUGUCCAAAUUUUUAUCUAUGAUUGUGAACUAUAACUUUAACUUACUCCAAUUUAAUUUUCUGUGUAUAAACUUAUACUCUAUAAACCAAAUCAUCUACUGUGUAAGUUGAGGACACAUAUAUGACAAUGAUCUAUUUAAUUAAUAAUUUAUUGAAUUGAAUAAAUAAUCGUUCAAUAAAUAAUACUAUAUCAAAAUGCAUAAUUUAUAGUAUAUCCUAACAAUAAUAUCUCUCAACUCCUCCCCUAUCUCACACCAUAAAGUGCAUUAAAGAUGAAUAACGAGUUUGAUUUCAAACUCGAAUUUGGGACAUUUAAUUAAGACAUUUAAUUAAGAAAACAAAGGAAUACAUAUGGGCACAUACAUAUGGUCUAACCUGACUAUUGAAGUGUGGACAAGAUAAUAUAAGAGCUUAACAUUAAAUGAAUCAGGAAUAUAAUUGGGUGGGUGUAACUCUGAUACCAUGAUCAAGAAAGUUAAUAACCAACGUCGAACCCCCCGUGUCGAGAAGAAAAAAGGAAAAAAAAGAAGAAGCUAUUAUUUGAUAAUAAACAUAAAAAAAAUUUUCUUUUUAACUUUAAUAAAAGUGAAUGAUAAGAAGAUUCAUAAUAAAUGAAAGCAAUAAUCUAACAUACAAGAUAAAUAUAUAACUUAGCAUAACAUAUUAAAAUACAUUGAUAAUGUAAAAAUUACAUGUGCGGUCAUCGCAGCUGCCGAUGACACUACA
rnacentral:lncRNA from 1 species